GACGAACGCUGGCGGCGUGCUUAACACAUGCAAGUCGAACGGAAAGGCCCUGCUUUUGUGGGGUGCUCGAGUGGCGAACGGGUGAGUAACACGUGAGUAACCUGCCCUUGACUUUGGGAUAACUUCAGGAAACUGGGGCUAAUACCGGAUAGGAGCUCCUGCUGCAUGGUGGGGGUUGGAAAGUUUCGGCGGUUGGGGAUGGACUCGCGGGUUAUGCGCUUGUUGGUGGGGUAGUGGCUUACCAAGGCUUUGACGGGUAGCCGGCCUGAGAGGGUGACCAGCCACAUUGGGACUGAGAGACGGCCCAGACUCCUACGGGAGGCAACAGUGGAGAACAUUGCACAAUAGGCGGAAGCCUGAUGCAGCGACGCCGCGUGCGGAAUGACGGCCUUCGGGUUGUAAACCGCUUUCGCCUGUGACGAAGCGUGAGUGACGGUAAUGGGUAAAGAAGCACCGGCUAACUACGUG
rnacentral:rRNA from 1 species